ACAAACAGCAGCAGCGCACAGAGGGAAGGCCAGGCCCUCCCAGGUUUCGUGUCUCUUUUAAAAGGUCCACUGUGCACAGACCUACUUCCGCAGGCAACUGGACCAUCAGGUCAGGAGGCAGCGUGCACAGAGACCGAAAGCAAAGGCAGGGCCCGGGGCCUCACGUGCCACGGACACGCCGCGCCCAUGCUCUAAUGACGCGUCUGUCUCUGCGUCCUGCCCGUGGCCAGCCUUGGGGCGCUGGCGUGUUGCUCGUGGGACUGCCCACGUGGGUUUCAUUCCAGGCCUGGUGAGGAGGGAGGCGCCUCCUGUCAUCAGGAGUUCACAGCCCAGGGCACCCAGCCCCCUAUGGUGCCAGCCAGGCCCCCCACAAUCCCCACAAAAUAUAGCAAACGGGGUAGAGACACCCGCCUCUCCCUCCCUUCUCCAGGAGCCAAUUGCCAUCAAAUACAUCAGGAACAGUAACAAUUUCUUGAAGGUUUGGGAGGAAUGAACCUCAUUAAUCCAUGGUCAUGAUUUAUACAAAUCACUUCAGCAUUUCACAAUGAAGCCGUUCAGCCACUGACAGCAGAGGAGGGCAGCCUUGGGUGGGGAGGGCCAGCAGCUCCCACAGGUGGGGACAGGUGGGCAGGGCAUGGGCGUCCUGCUGCCCGACUGCCCGCCUUGCCAUGCCCCAGCCUGGGGAAGCCCUGGUCCCCGCUGCCCCGAGCGCGGUGGAGAGGAUUGCGCAGGCUUCCCACCUUGUUUCUGAGAAGCUCCCACUGGGCUUGUCGGGCGGGGGCACAGCCCCAGAUGUGGUCGCUUUUCUCAGGCAGCCCACAGCGGCCCCCUUCACCCCCUGAGCACCCCUGAGCCCCUCCUCUGGGCUCUGAUGCGUUUCCCACAGGGGCUGG
rnacentral:lncRNA from 1 species